UACGAAGGGGGCUAGCGUUGCUCGGAUUUACUGGGCGUAAAGGGCGCGUAGGCGGACAGUUAAGUUGGGGGUGAAAGCCCGGGACUCAACCUCGGAAUUGCCUUCAAUACUGGCUGUCUUGAGUGUGAGAGAGGUGUGUGGAACUCCGAGUGUAGAGGUGAAAUUCGUAGAUAUUCGGAAGAACACCAGUGGCGAAGGCGACACACUGGCUCACUACUGACGCUGAGGCGCGAAAGCGUGGGGAGCAAACAGG
rnacentral:rRNA from 1 species